CGGCGGACGGGUGAGUAACGCGUGGGUAACCUGCCUCAUACAGGGGGAUAACAGUUAGAAAUGACUGCUAAUACCGCAUAAGACCACAGCACCGCAUGGUGCGGGGGUAAAAACUCCGGUGGUAUGAGAUGGACCCGCGUCUGAUUGGCUAGUUGGUAAGGUAACGGCCCACCAAGGCAACGAUCGGUAGCCGGACUGAGAGGUUGAACGGCCACAUUGGGACUGAGACACGGCCCAG
rnacentral:rRNA from 1 species